ACUCCUGCGGGAGGCAGCAGUGGGGAAUUUUGGACAAUGGGCGAAAGCCUGAUCCAGCAAUGCCGCGUGAGUGAAGAAGGCCUUCGGGUUGUAAAGCUCUUUUGUCAGGGAAGAAACGGUGAAAGCUAAUAUCUUUUGCUAAUGACGGUACCUGAAGAAUAAGCACCGGCUAACUACGUGCCAGCAGCCGCGGUAAUACGUAGGGUGCAAGCGUUAAUCGGAAUUACUGGGCGUAAAGCGUGCGCAGGCGGUUUUGUAAGUCUGAUGUGAAAUCCCCGGGCUCAACCUGGGAAUUGCAUUGGAGACUGCAAGGCUAGAAUCUGGCAGAGGGGGGUAGAAUUCCACGUGUAGCAGUGAAAUGCGUAGAUAUGUGGAGGAACACCGAUGGCGAAGGCAGCCCCCUGGGUCAAGAUUGACGCUCAUGCACGAAAGCGCGGGGAGCAAACAGGAUUAGAAACCCGUGUAGUCCCAUGA
rnacentral:rRNA from 1 species